AAAAUACGUGACACUGUCACGUUAUUUAAUCUAUUGAAAUGUGAUCAGGGACACGUAUUUUCAAAAUUUUCGUGUUUUAAAGCACAAAUUUCAAACCCAUGUAUUUCAAUUGGGAGUAUUUAUAACAAUAUGACAGCUUUUGGCCACCUGUUUCUACUUAAACUUGUCUGUGAACAAUAUGACAGCUUUAGGCCACCUGUUUCUACUUUCACCUUUGAUUCUGAGAAUUUGUGACAAUUCACGGAUAUAUUAAAUGAAGGUGCGCUG